rnacentral:rRNA from 1 species
GAUGAACGCUGGCGGCGUGCCUAAUACAUGCGAGUCGAGCGAACGGACGAGAAGCUUGCUUCUCUGAUGUUAGCGGCGGACGGGUGAGUAACACGUGGAUAACCUACCUAUAAGACUGGGAUAACUUCGGGAAACCGGAGCUAAUACCGGAUGAUAUUUUGAACCGCAUGGUUCAAAAGUGAAAGACGGUCUUGCUGUCACUUAUAGAUGGAUCCGCGCUGCAUUAGCUAGUUGGUAAGAUAACGGCUUACCAAGGCAACGAUGCAUAGCCGACCUGAGAGGGUGAUCGGCCACACUGGAACUGAGACACGGUCCAGACUCCUACGGGAGGCAGCAGUAGGGAAUCUUCCGCAAUGGGCGAAAGCCUGACGGAGCAACGCCGCGUGAGUGAUGAAGGUCUUCGGAUCGUAAAACUCUGUUAUUAGGGAAGAACAUAUGUGUAAGUAACUGUGCACAUCUUGACGGUACCUAAUCAGAAAGCCACGGCUAACUACGUG